ACGCGGACUGUGGCAACCGGACGCGACGGAACUGGAGAAUACGGGAAUUUUGCCGGUUUCUUCCCGUGGCCAACGAAAAGGCAGGCGAGCUCCUGACACCGUCCAGUCC
rnacentral:sRNA from 20 species